rnacentral:lncRNA from 1 species
CAUCCACUUCCAGCAACUUCCAUGAAGGACAUGGCCCACGUCCAGGACCCUGCCUGAUGGCCAGACCCCUCAGGAUGCCCGUGGAGGCGAGGCCCCCGGCUUUGGGCAGAAGCCCCAGCCCAGGGACACAGAGAGACACAAAAGGAAGAUGCUGUGAAGACACAGAGACACACAGGGAGAACGCCAUUUGACAACAGAGGCAGAGAUUAGAAUGAUGCAUCUACAAGCCAAGGGGCGCCAAGAGUUGCUGGCAGCCACCAGAAGCUGGAGCAGACGCUCUCUCAGAGCCUCCAGGCAGAACCAGCGCUGCCCAAGCCUUUAUUCCGGACUUCUGGCCUCCAGAGCUGUGCGAGAAUGAAUACCUGUCAUUUUAAGCCACCCAGUGUGCAGGACUUUGUCGCAGUAGCCCCAGGAAACGAAGGCACCUUGUCAGUGACAUUUUGGCCCCUUACAAAUCGCUGGGCUGGCUGGCUGGUUGGCAGCUUACUUCCGACUUGAUGCCAAGGUCGUCUGUGAAGGACUGUCCCCCAGUGGAAGCUGUGCUGUGUGGAGGUAACACGCCGGGAGAGAGUUGGGCAAGGCCAGCUCUGUUGACAGGGAGGACCCAGGCAGUGGAGGAGUCAUCAGACACUGACGUGUAUUUGCUUGCUCUGGUCUUUUUUUAUUUUUUUAGAUUUGAAAAUCCAGCUAGGCCCUUCCAGGUGUGUUCUGAGUGUCCCCGUCUCUGGGAGCUGGUGUGAUUCUGUCAACACGGGCACUGUUGAUGAUGGCGACAGCUGUGCCCUUUGAGCCCGGAGGAAAGGCGCAGUUAUGGAUUCAGGUCAUGCUCGCUACACUUGGGGCCAUAAACUAUUGUUCACCAAAAUAUGAAGGACACGGGGCUGGGGGCAGAAACACAGCCGCUCCAAAGGGAGGCUCUGCUCCCCUUCUGCUGGCAUGGAGACCUGCAGCAAGGUCCCCAACACCACCAUUUUCAGGGAAUCUGUGUUCUGCACCUCCCGUGUGACACUUGAAAGCAAUCGGGCGUCUCUCCUGGGGCCUCUUCACUUGCCUGAGAAGUUCCUUCUCCAGACCCUCAAUUAGCCGGCUCCUCCUCCUCCUUGGGUCUGUGCCAAUGUCACCUCCUCCAAGAGGCCUCUGUGACCUCCAUCUCUAAGUACUUCCCUCAGGUCCCUCCCGUCUUCAUCUGCUUUGUCAGAGCCGUCACCCCCAUCUGAAAUGACCUUGUUCAUGUGUUGCUUCUUUAGGGUCUGUGUUCCCCAUUAGAAUGGAACAGCCACAGGGAUUUUUGGUCCAUUCUUGGCUCCCCAGCUUCUGUAACGUGCCUGGCACAUGGCAGGUUAAUGUUUGUUGGUGACGCAAUGUCUCAGCCAGGAAUCUACAGCCACAGAGAAAGAACGUCCUGCCCAGUCUUCCUGCCUUCAGCCUGGCUCCCUCCUCUCACCCUCCUACUGCUCACACCAUGAUUUUUCCAAACCAGAAAUCAGCCAGGUCACUCUUCUGCUCUAAGAUCUUCGAGAGCUCCCCAUUGCCCCCAGGUGAAGUCAAAUCACCGUAGCAAGACUCAACGGGCCCUCGUGAGUGGAGCCCUGCCUUCCUCCUGGGCACUCACAUCCUUCGUUUCAGCAGAACUGAGUCACUCCCCAGA